AUCUAGCCAGUGCCUUUUUGAACCUUACUAAGUUUUGGUUUCAACAACAUCCUGUGGCAAUGAGUUCCACAGCUGAAUUACAUGUUGUGUGGAAAAAGUAUUUCCUCACAAGCAUAAUGAAAAUGGAAAGUUGCUCAAGAAGGAGGAAGCCGCCAUCUUGACUCUCAGCUGGCAGUUUGGAACAAAGGAAUGUCAGUGCAGGAGAGAAGCUAGAGAAUUUCACAGAUGUUUUAGGAAAAGCAAAGAUUGGAAAAUAUGAAUAUAGAAAUUUCACAGUGGAGGAAAAAAGAAGCAAACAACCAAAUGCACUUAUUUUGUAUGCAAUAUUCUGUGAUUACCUGCAGCUGACUCAUAAUGUCCCUGUAAUUCUAGGAGACUGUUAUUCAGUAACUGAACUAUU